UGAGUAUGGCCUUGUUUUUACUGUUAGUAGAGGGUCUGCAUUUAAAUUGCUUGCCGAGUAUUAUCCAUUUCAAUCAAACAAGAAGUUGUUGACCAUGUUUGAUCAUGAGAGUCAGUCUGUGAAUUGGAUGGCUCAACGUGCCAAGGAGAAAGGUGCUAUGAUUAGUAGUGCUUGGUUUAAAUGGCCUACCUUAAAACUAUGUUCUAAGGAGCUGAGGAAGCAGAUUUGUAAUAAAAAGAAGAGGAAGAAGAAUUCUGCAGUUGGGCUUUUUGUGUUUCCUGUUCAGUCUAGAGUAACUGGGGCCAAGUAUUCUUACCAGUGGAUGUCACUUGCUCAACAAAAUAGUUGGCAUGUUUUGCUGGAUGCUGGGUCAUUAGGUCCAAAGGAUAUGGAUUCACUAGGGCUUUCCUUGUUCAGGCCAGAUUUUAUUAUCACAUCAUUUUACAGGGUGUUUGGUUCUGACCCAACUGGGUUUGGGUGUCUUUUGAUCAAGAAAUCUGUAAUGGCAAACCUGCAGAAUGAGAGUGGCCGUACUGGGUUGGGAAUGGUGAGGAUUCUCCCUGUUUUCCCUCAGUAUUUGGGUGAUUCUAUGGACGGUCUUGAUGUUUUUACUGGAAUGGAGAAUGAUGCCAUGAAUGGUAGUGAAGAUGCAGAGUCUGAAACGCGUGGGGAGUCACAAAUGCCUGCCUUUUCAGGUGUACUCACUACCAACGAGGUCAGGGAUGUCCUUGAGAACGAGAUGGAACAUGAUAGCAGCUCAGACAGAGAUGGGGCAAGCACCGUAUUUGAGGAGGCUGAGAGCAUUUCGGUUGGGGAUGUUAUGAAAAGUCCAAUUUUCAGUGAGGAUGAGUCAUCAGAUAAUUCAUACUGGAUCGAUUUGGGUCAGAGUCCAUUGGCAUCUCAUAACUCUGGGCAAUUAACCAAACAGAGAACAGGUUCACCUUUGCUAUCUACCUGGUUCUUGCGCAAGAAGAGACAUAAUCAACUAUCAACAAGGCCAACAUCAAAAAUGUAUAAGAACCCAAUUUAUGAUGAUGAUCAUCAUCACAGAUUCCAUAAUGAUCCUGCUUUGUCUGUUGAUGAAACUGUAUUAUCAGUGUCACAGGAUCUUGACCUUACCAAAGGAAUCUCUGAAGAACAACGGUUUGCUGAAACAGAACAUACACUCAGCAAUGGAGAAAAAUAUGCCAAUUUGAAGCACGCUGGAGAGAUUCAAGUGGACACUGAAAUUGGGGAUGGGCCAAUAUUGAGCCUUCGUUAUCAUAACCUUGAAGGUGUCUCAGCCUCUGAAAUUAGCCAAGAAGCCAAAGAAAGUGCUAUAAGGAGAGAGACAGAAGGUGACUUCAGAUUGUUAGGGAGGAGAGCAAGAGGAAGGUUUUUUGGUUUGGAAGAGGGAGAUCAUCUAGCUAGCACAAGACACACAGUAUCUUUCAGCAUGGAAGACAACCGUAGAGAACACUCAAGUAACUUGGAGCCAAAGGAAAUAUCUUUAACUACUUUUGGUGAUGAGGCGUCCAUAAGUGAUGGAGAAUAUGGCGAUGAACAAGAGUGGGGAAGGAGUGAGCCAGAGAUAAUAUGCCGGCAUCUUCAUCACAUCAAUCUAUUGGGUCUCAACAAAACUACUCUCAGACUUCGUUAUCUCAUCAAUUGGCUUGUUACCUCCUUACUUCAACUUCGGUUUCCUUCUUCAGAAGUGCCUCUUGUACAGAUAUAUGGCCCUAAAAUAAAAUAUGAAAGGGGUGCAGCUGUAGCUUUCAAUGUGAGACAGAGCACUGGAGGACAACUAAUUCAUCCAGAAGUUGUUCAGAAGUUGGCUGAUAAAAAUGGAAUCUCUCUAGGCAUUGGCAUCCUGAACCAUGUAAGGAUAGUUGACAGCCCAAAACAACAUUGUGGGGGUUUUGAUUUUGAAGACGCAGCAUUGUGCAAGCCAAUGGCUAGUGCCCACCAUGACAGUAAAGAUGUGUUUUACCGAGUGGAGGUUGUUACUGCAUCACUUGGAUUUCUAACAAACUUUGAAGAUGUUUAUAAGAUGUGGGCAUUCAUUGCUGGAUUUCUUAAUCCAUCAUUUGUUGAAGAUGACAAAUUAUCUGCAGUUCCUGAGGAUUCAGAAGCAUAGGAGCUGGAAAAUUAUUUGAAGGAUUUUUGUUUCGUUUUGAAGCAAUAUGGACCCCUCCAUUGCCUUUUGCUAUAUAUCAUGAAGGAAGAUAUAGUCAUGGUUAAUGCUCGAGUCUGCAGCAUAGGACAAUGAUGUUGAAGCAAUGAAUAAAGGAAGCAAAGGCAUGUUUUUGUGCGGUCUCUUGCUUAGGGUCUUUCACUCUUUCACGAGCCUUUCCAUGAGCAGCAGAUAAUUUUUUAAUUCUUCUUGUUGCAUCUUGGAUUGCAAUAUUUUGUAUUAGUAGUAUUCAGUUUCAUGUAGAGUUUGAUCUAUAAACAUAUAUCAGUUGAGGCAGUUAUUCAAAACUAGAAAAAAGAAUGGAAUGUGUGAGGAUUUUCUGUUGUAGUUCAGAUUUCUGUUCCAUUUUUGGUUCAAUUUUCUACUUUGCAUUAUGUAUCAUGUGGAUGUUUGCUGCUAUGGUAUUCUAUCCAUGGCUGUUUAGUUCAAAUUUUUUCUUCAGUGUUCG
rnacentral:misc_RNA from 1 species